rnacentral:tRNA from 10 species
GGCAUCUGAGCGCCGGCUCCGCGGAGGCGUCUCUUGCAAUUGCUGGGAAAUAGGAAUGAGAGUUUUAAGGCUGUUUUAACAACCAAAUCAGAUUAAAUAAAUUAACAUGUUUAAAUUGUUAUCAAUUGUUCCUUCAGUUGCUUUAGGACGAUUGGAGAGGAGCCUCGGUCCACAAGACCGGAAGCCUGAGGAGUGCAGCUUUGUCCCCAAGGUCACAGUGACUGGCUUUCUGCUGCCGGCUGUAAAGCACAUGCGGACCGAAACCCCCCUUCGGAAGUGUUUGAAAACUGCAAGAUUUCACCCUCUCCAUCACCAAGCCAAGGGAAACAUAACCAAAAGGGUUUUCUUCCCGAUGGCGAAGGCAUGAUAGGUUAGUGAUUCGUGGUAGAAUUAUUGCCCUCCGCGCGGAGGCCUGAUUCUAUUCCCAGUUUGUUCUCUUCUUUCCCUGCUUAUUAAAAUUUGUAAUUGCCAUUUAAAUAUCUAACUGCCCCUCACAACUGCACCCAGUGUGUAGGUUUCGGGGUGGGGGUUUUUUUUUUUCCUUUUUUUAAUUUUAUUGAGACAGGGUCUCGCUAUGUUGCCUGCCUGGGUCUUCCAAAGUGCAGUGACUACAGGCGUGAGCUACCGCGCCUAGCCCACCAGUGUAUUGAUAUUUAUUUUUCUAUCCCUAGUUUUGUUUUCUGUUUGAUUCUGGUGAUUCCUUUUUCCAAAGUGAGUUGGCAACCUGUGGUAGCCAAAGAAGUAGGCAACUGCUCGUAGGUUUUUUCUUAAAUUACGAGGUAGUCUGAACGCAUCUCCUGUAAGUAGUUAAGAGUACUGUGAGACCGUGUGCCUGGCAGAACAGCAGAGUGGCGCAGCGGAAGCGUGCUGGGCCCAUAACCCAGAGGUCGAUGGAUCGAAACCAUCCUCUGCUAGGUCCUUUUUUUUUCUCCCCCCCCGUCUAUUUUCCUGAGGAUCCCUUUUUUUUAAGUUACAGUUUUUUAGGUUAAACAAUGACGAAAGAAAACAAAAUGAACCCGAGUAUUUCUUUAAUUCCAGAAUUACAAGCAUUUCCGGGAAAUAAUGUGAAACUACAAUCUCUGCAUGUACAAUUUUGAUUUUCAUGGACACCCAAGUGUCAUUAAUCAAUAUGUCAUCUGUAAACAAAGCAAAUUUCUCUUGUUUAGAGGCUAUACCACUGUUGCAGCCAGUUAUGACAGUUGUAAGUUAACCUGCCAAGCAAGGAGAAUGCUUACAUAAACUGAGUGCCAAGGGUGGGGUGGGGUGGGAGCCCAGGAAUGGAGUUUUAUAUCUUUUGAUACAUAAUUCAGAAAGCACUAUUUGCCAAGUAGUUAAGGCAAUCGACUAGGAAUUCCUAAAUCCCCACACAGAUUCUUUUCACCUACAAGGAUCUUAAUCUCGGAAAAUGAGUUGCAUUUUGAGGUGGGUGUGGAGUCUUCAUAGCACUGAUUGAACUCUGACCUGAGAAAAACAUUUUUGCGGACCCUACUGGUAAAUGUGUCUCUACUCUCUACCAUCCUUUAAUAUCUCAAAUAGAACUAUUCGCUGUGCUUAUUUUUUAAACAUAUGUGUGGACUGCUUUAUGCUUCUCUCUCUCAGAAAGGAUUCCUAUUCAGAUAUUUAUGUGUCACAUACUGUAUUAGGAACUAAGAAAAAAAAAAAACCUUAAGUAGUCUACAGUCUAGAUAUGCUUUUGUUGUUUUUGUUUUUUGUUUUUUGUUUGUUU